UACGAAGGGGGCAAGCGUUGUUCGGAUUUACUGGGCGUAAAGGGCGCGCAGGCGGCUCGCCAAGUCAGAUGUGAAAGCCCCGGGCUCAACCUGGGAACUGCAUUUGAGACUGGCGAGCUCGAGUUCGGGAGAGGAUGGCGGAAUUCCCAGUGUAGAGGUGAAAUUCGUAGAUAUUGGGAAGAACACCGGUGGCGAAGGCGGCCAUCUGGACCGAGACUGACGCUGAGGCGCGAAAGCGUGGGGAGCAAACAGG
rnacentral:rRNA from 1 species